ensembl:lncRNA
CGCCUGUAGCCUACAGCCUAUAACAUAAAUUGUGAGAAAGAUGAUAAUCUCUUCUCGCUCCACAUUGAUUCAUCAAUUCAACUAAAUUUGGGGUGCAGCAAAUGUCAAAGUUAGAACGAAAAUGGAUGGCCGAAGCUGUCAGUCAUAGGCAUGUUCUGUUACUAAGAUUUACAAUCUCGCACAUUUGUAGGACUAAGUCUACAAAUACUAGAAUAAAUUGUUAGUCUUUUAAUGAAUUUACGACCAGAUAAAACACGUCAUUGAUAUGAACUACCUCACUUUGGUGGUAUCUGCGGAACCCUAGUGGUGAAGGAGAGGAGUGCAUAUGAUGGGCUUAGCAACAGGUGGAGAGCCGGUCAUUAGUCACCUAUGAACUGGAGACGCGAUGACACACAAAGACUGGAUGAGUGGUUGAAUGGAUUCCUUUACUGCGACGAUUACUUAAUUUUACGAGAUAACUCUUUUUAUAUUAUAAGAUAGACUAUUAUUUUUUUCAAUUACAAAUGAUCCGUUAUGUGUUUUCAUCCUCUGACAAAGCAUAUUGAUGGAAACCCUGUUGUUAAGUCAAGUUCUUGUUUGUUUGUUGUUUUGAUGUUGCUUUUUAUUUUCCUCUGGGCAGAGACAAAAGCUCUGGCAAACGCCUGAAGGUCUGAUUUUUUUUUUCUGUCUCCAGUGCUGGAGUUAGAUAGAUAGGAAGUGAGGGAGAAAAUAGGCUGUGCUCUCCGUCACGCUGAACGGCACUUGAACACGUUUGUCACCGCCGGAGGAGGGGAGACGUGCGGGGAAUCCUAACGUUACGCCCAGGGCUCGGCCACGGCACUCCACUGCCAAGAAAGGGAGACAGAAAACAAGCAUGACACAAAGGAGGACAUUGCAGUCUUUCUCCCGUUACAACAGCCGUUUUGUAAGUUGAAGCACUUGCGUGGAGAAGAAGCCCCCUCCGCGGGGGUUGGCCACUGGCAAACAGAGCUGGCAAAGAUCACAGAGAGAGACAAAAGCGAGCAGUUAUGCGCAAAAAUAACUUCGAGUUGACCUAUUCAUGUGUUGUUCAGCAGUUGGACCUGUCAAUCACUCUCCUCAAUGGCCCUUCUCCAUCUCUCUCCUGCCCACUCAUGCGAGCCCUCAGCAGAGAGCGUAAUUACACCUGCAGGCCUCAGGGGAUGGAGGACGUGGAGGACGUGGCUACAGGAAGUGAAGGACGGAGGAAUGAGGAACCGCAGACGCACGGAACUCAUAAACAAGGUACCGUGUUUCAGGAAGAGGUGUCUCAAAUCAGUAGCCCCUCUCGUUUCAUGUUGACAUUCUCAUCCAGCUGAAGUGUCAUCACUGCAUAAAUAGGAUAUCCCCCCGACUUCCAUUCAAUAUCAAAUUACCAUUUUGACAGAAGAUUGACACUGUGUACGAGUGUGGUAGAAAUUGAAGCAUUGAAGGCUCAAUGUACUCAAGGUAGUUUGGAUAUAUGAAAUAACAGCUUAUAUAUUGGCAUCUUUUUUUGUUUAUUUAUAUAUUAGCAUAUUCAACUACAGAAAACUACAGGUAGGAAGAGGAUGAAUGACACACAGUGCACACAUCAUGCUGUCCUCACUGUCCAGAUCAGCUUCCUUCUGUUCCUCCAGUGAACCCAAAACAUUCGGUUUAAUACUUCAAACAUGACCAGUGAUUGGUCGACUGGUGUGAUGGACACUGGAGAUAACCAGUGGUGUGUUGAUGGAUUUGAUGUACACAAGAGGUGGUCACUGGUUGGUUAAUAGGCUUGAUGCACAAGUGGGCAGAGAGAAAAGGGAAGGGCUAAAAAAAGA